rnacentral:rRNA from 1 species
CGCUGGCGGCAUGCUUUACACAUGCAAGUCGAGCGGCAGCGCGAGGGCAACCUUGGCGGCGAGCGGCGAACGGGUGAGUAACACAUCGGAACGUAUCCCGUAGUGGGGGAUAACCCGGCGAAAGCCGGGCUAAUACCGCAUAUGCUCUACGGAGGAAAGUGGGGGACUCGCAAGGGCCUCACGUUAUGGGAGCGGCCGAUGUCCGAUUAGCUAGUUGGUGGGGUAAAGGCCUACCAAGGCGACGAUCGGUAGCUGGUCUGAGAGGAUGAUCAGCCACACUGGGACUGAGACACGGCCCAGACUCCUACGGGAGGCAGCAGUGGGGAAUUUUGCGCAAUGGGCUAACGCCUGACGCAGCAACGCCGCGUGGAGGAUGAAGGUCUUUGGAUUGUAAACUCCUGUCAGCAGGGAAAAAGCGACUCGGCCUAACACGCCGGGGAGUUGAUUGUACCUGCAGAGGAAGCCCCGGCUAACUCUGUGCCAGCAGCCGCGGUAAUACAGAGGGGGCAAGCGUUAUUCGGAAUUAUUGGGCGUAAAGGGCGCGUAGGCGGCCUGGCAAGUGGAAGGUGAAAUCCCUCGGCUUAACCGAGGAACUGCCUCCCAAACUGCUUGGCUUGAGACCAGGAGUGGUGAGUGGAAUUCCCAGUGUAGCGGUGAAAUGCGUAGAUAUUGGGAGGAACACCAGUGGCGAAGGCGGCUCACUGGACUGGUACUGACGCUGAGGCGCGAAA